GAUGAACGCUGGCGGCGUGCUUAACACAUGCAAGUCGAACGUGAAGCCCGGUGCUUGCAUUGGGUGGAAAGUGGCGAACGGGUGAGUAACACGUUGGUGACCUGCCCCGAGGUGGGGGAUAACUGUGGGAAACCAUGGCUAAUACCCCAGAUGUCAGAGAGUUUAGACGCCUUUGACUAAAGUUCCGGCGCCUCGGGAGGGGCCUGCGGGCUAUCAGCUUGUUGGUGAGGUAACGGCUCACCAAGGCUCAGACGGCUAGGGGGCGUGAGAGCGCGACCCCCCACAAUGGGACUGAGACACGGCCCAUACUCCUACGGGAGGCAGCAGUGAGGAAUAUUGCGCAAUGGGGGAAACCCUGACGCAGCAACGCCGCGUGGAUGAUGAAGGCCUUCGGGUUGUAAAAUCCUUUUCUGGGGGACGAUACAGACGGUACCUCAAGAAUAAGUCCCGGCUAACUACGUGCCAGCAGCCGCGGUAAAACGUAGGGGGCGAGCGUUAUCCGGAUUUAUUGGGCGUAAAGCGCACGUAGGCGGCGCUGUAAGUUGGGCGUGAAAGCUCUUGGCUUAACUGAGAGAGGUCGUUCAAAACUGCAGUGCUUGAGGUUGACAGAGGAGAGUGGAAUUCCCGGUGUAGUGGUGGAAUGCGUAGAUAUCGGGAGGAACACCAGUGGCGAAAGCGGCUCUCUAGGUCACACCUGACGCUGAGGUGCGAAAGCGUGGGGAGCGAACGGGAUUAGAUACCCCGGUAGUCCACGCUGUAAACGAUGGAUACUAGGUGUAGGGGGUUAUUUACCCCCUCUGUGCCGAAGCAAACGCGUUAAGUAUCCCGCCUGGGGACUACGGCCGCAAGGUUA
rnacentral:rRNA from 1 species